ACUCUGACCUAAAAUUUUCAUGCGCCACUUAGCUAGGCACUUUUCCAGGUUGUAUGUGGGCGCUUUUUGUUUUUCUAUUAUGGGUCUGGCGGCAAUUGGGUGCUUGUCCAUUUUGACAAACGCGAACAGCCUUGGGUAUGCCGGGUCUGUGAUCUUGUGUCUCCAUGCCUGUGGAAAUGCCUUGUCUCUCACAAUUCUAUCUACAGAUUUCGCUAAAGUCAUGGUUGGGUCUUUAGCUAGGCACUAUGGUUUCGAUUCAUCUAUAUAAGAUUUCAAAAAAUCAUCAUAUGUGCUUUCUUUCAUUAUUACCAUCUUCUUGGUUUUUGUCUUCUCU
rnacentral:lncRNA from 1 species